CCUACGGGAGGCAGCAGUGGGGAAUAUUGCACAAUGGGGGAAACCCUGAUGCAGCGACGCCGCGUGAGUGAAGAAGUAAUUCGGUAUGUAAAGCUCUAUCAGCAGGGAAGUAAAUGACGGUACCUGAGUAAGAAUGCCCGGCCAAUUACGUGCCAGCAGCCCCGGUAAUACGGAGGGGGCAAGCGUUAUCCGGAUUUACUGGGUGUAAGGGGAGCGUAGACGGCAGUGCAAGUCUGGAGUGAAAGGCGGGGGCUCAACCCCCGGACUGCUGUGGAAACUGUACGGCUGGAGUGCAGGAGAGGUAAGUGGAAUUCCUAGUGUAGCGGUGAAAUGCGUAGAUAUUAGGAGGAACACCAGUGGCGAAGGCAGCUUACUGGACUGUAACUGACGUUGAGGCUCGAAAGCGUGGGGAGCGAACAGGAUUAGAUACCCCUGUAGUC
rnacentral:rRNA from 1 species